AGAGACAGCAGCCGCCGCGGGAAUACGGAGGGUGCAAGCGUUAAUCGGAAUUACUGGGCGUAAAGCGCACGCAGGCGGUUUGUUAAGUCAGAUGUGAAAUCCCCGGGCUCAACCUGGGAACUGCAUUUGAAACUGGCAAGCUAGAGUCUCGUAGAGGGGGGUAGAAUUCCAGGUGUAGCGGUGAAAUGCGUAGAGAUCUGGAGGAAUACCGGUGGCGAAGGCGGCCCCCUGGACGAAGACUGACGCUCAGGUGCGAAAGCGUGGGGAGCAAACAGGAUUAGAUACCCCAGUAGUCCCUGUCUCUUAUAC
rnacentral:rRNA from 1 species